AGCACUCAACCGUUGAAAGUGUUACCACACCUUAAAAAUUUCAGUGUUAGUCAGAGUCCGAAUCGGAAUCUGUUGAAUUUUUCGAAAUAAACAAAGCCAAACUACGAUUGACCAAAAACCCAAAGACUACUGGAUCCUCACCAAUAAAAUACCACAAAAAAUACGCAAAAUUAAAUGAAGUGAAUAUAAAACUAAAACCACCCUGGGCCCUACCAUUGCCCAGGGUAGAAAAUCCUAGAGAACUUUCAUUGUGUUUUGUGCCAGGGCCAGAGCCCUAAUGAAAUUAAAGAUCUUUCAAUAAUGGCACUGCAGGAACCUAUAUACCUUUUAUUAAGCAAUGGAUCCCUCUUUUUUUGAAGAAAAUUCAGAAAAAUCAAGCAUAUCGGUUUAAA
rnacentral:misc_RNA from 1 species